GACGAACGCUGGCGGCGUGCCUAAUACAUGCAAGUCGAGCGAGCUUGCCUAGAUGAAUUUGGUGCUUGCACCAAAUGAAACUAGAUACAAGCGAGCGGCGGACGGGUGAGUAACACGUGGGUAACCUGCCCAAGAGACUGGGAUAACACCUGGAAACAGAUGCUAAUACCGGAUAACAACACUAGACGCAUGUCUAGAGUUUAAAAGAUGGUUCUGCUAUCACUCUUGGAUGGACCUGCGGUGCAUUAGCUAGUUGGUAAGGUAACGGCUUACCAAGGCAAUGAUGCAUAGCCGAGUUGAGAGACUGAUCGGCCACAUUGGGACUGAGACACGGCCCAAACUCCUACGGGAGGCAGCAGUAGGGAAUCUUCCACAAUGGACGCAAGUCUGAUGGAGCAACGCCGCGUGAGUGAAGAAGGGUUUCGGCUCGUAAAGCUCUGUUGGUAGUGAAGAAAGAUAGAGGUAGUAACUGGCCUUUAUUUGACGGUAAUUACUUAGAAAGUCACGGCUAACUACGUGCCAGCAGCCGCGGUAAUACGUAGGUGGCAAGCGUUGUCCGGAUUUAUUGGGCGUAAAGCGAGUGCAGGCGGUUCAAUAAGUCUGAUGUGAAAGCCUUCGGCUCAACCGGAGAAUUGCAUCAGAAACUGUUGAACUUGAGUGCAGAAGAGGAGAGUGGAACUCCAUGUGUAGCGGUGGAAUGCGUAGAUAUAUGGAAGAACACCAGUGGCGAAGGCGGCUCUCUGGUCUGCAACUGACGCUGAGGCUCGAAAGCGUGGGUAGCAAACAGG
rnacentral:rRNA from 1 species